GGAGAGGUGGCUGAGCGGUUUAAAGCGGCGGUCUUGAAAACCGUUGACCCGAAAGGGUCCGGGGGUUCGAAUCCCUCCCUCUCCG
rnacentral:tRNA from 1 species